GGUUGGCUUAGAAGCAGCCACCCUUGAAAGAGUGCGUAAUAGCUCACUGGUCUAGUGAUUCCGCGCCGACAAUGUAGCGGGGCUCAAGCGUACCGCCGAAGUCGUGUCAUUGCAGCAAUAGGGCCAACGCCUGCUGUGAUGGGUAGGGGAGCGUCGUCUGCCGGGUGAAGCAGCCGCGGAAGCGAGUUGUGGACGGUUGACGAGUGAGAAUGCAGGCAUGAGUAGCGAUUCACACGUGAGAAACGUGUGCGCCGAUUGACUAAGGGUUCCUGGGUCAAGCUGAUCUGCCCAGGGUAAGUCGGGACCUAAGGCGAGGCCGACAGGCGUAGUCGAUGGAUAACCGGUUGAUAUUCCGGUACCCGCUGUGAAGCGUCAAACAUCGAGCAUCGUGAUGCUAAGGCCGUGAAGCCGCCCUGAUCUCUUCGGAGUUGAGGGGAGUGGUGGAGCCGCCGAACCAAGCGGUUAGUAGGUGAGUGAUGGGGUGACGCAGGAAGGUAGUCCAUCCCGGGCGGUGGUUGUCCCGGGGUAAGGGUGUAGGACGCAAGGUAGGCAAAUCCGCCUUGCACAUAGUCUGAGACCUGAUGCCGAGCCGAUUGUGGUGAAGUGGAUGAUCCUAUGCUGUCGAGAAAGCCUCUAGCGAGUUUCAUGGCGGCCCGUACCCUAAACCGACUCAGGUGGUCAGGUAGAGAAUACCGAGGCGUUCGGGUGAACUAUGGUUAAGGAACUCGGCAAAAUGCCCCCGUAACUUCGGGAGAAGGGGGGCCAUCACUGGUGAGGGGACUUGCUCCUCGAGCUGGGGGUGGCCGCAGAGACCAGCGAGAAGCGACUGUUUACUAAAAACACAGGUCCGUGCGAAGCCGUAAGGCGAUGUAUACGGACUGACGCCUGCCCGGUGCUGGAACGUUAAGGGGACCGGUUAGUGACCUUUCGGGGUUGCGAAGCUGAGAACUUAAGCGCCAGUAAACGGCGGUGGUAACUAUAACCAUCCUAAGGUAGCGAAAUUCCUUGUCGGGUAAGUUCCGACCUGCACGAAUGGCGUAACGACUUCUCGACUGUCUCAACCAUAGGCCCGGUGAAAUUGCACUACGAGUAAAGAUGCUCGUUUCGCGCAGCAGGACGGAAAGACCCCGGGACCUUUACUACAGUUUGAUAUUGGUGUUCGGUUCGGCUUGUGUAGGAUAGCUGGGAGACUGUGAAGCUCGGACGCCAGUUCGGGUGGAGUCGUCGUUGAAAUACCAGUCUGGUCGUGCUGGAUGUCUAACCUGGGUCCGUGAUCCGGAUCAGGGACAGUGUCUGAUGGGUAGUUUAACUGGGGCGGUUGCCUCCUAAAGGGUAACGGAGGCGCCCAAAGGUUCCCUCAGCCUGGUUGGCAAUCAGGUGUUGAGUGUAAGUGCACAAGGGAGCUUGACUGUGAGACCGACGGGUCGAGCAGGGACGAAAGUCGGGACUAGUGAUCCGGCGGUGGCUUGUGGAAGCGCCGUCGCUCAACGGAUAAAAGGUACCCCGGGGAUAACAGGCUGAUCUUCCCCAAGAGUCCAUAUCGACGGGAUGGUUUGGCACCUCGAUGUCGGCUCGUCGCAUCCUGGGGCUGGAGUCGGUCCCAAGGGUUGGGCUGUUCGCCCAUUAAAGCGGUACGCGAGCUGGGUUUAGAACGUCGUGAGACAGUUCGGUCCCUAUCCGCUGUGCGCGUAGGAGUCUUGAGAAGGGCUGUCCCUAGUACGAGAGGACCGGGACGGACGAACCUCUGGUGUGCCAGUUGUUCUGCCAAGGGCAUGGCUGGUUGGCUACGUUCGGGAGGGAUAACCGCUGAAAGCAUCUAAGCGGGAAGCCUGCUUCGAGAUGAGGACUCCCACCUCUAUAAGAGGGUAAGGCUCCCAGUAGACGACUGGGUUGAUAGGCCGGAUCUGGAAGCACGGUAACGUGUGGAGGUGACCGGUACUAAUAGGCCGAGGGCUUGUCCUCAGUUG
rnacentral:rRNA from 1 species